rnacentral:rRNA from 1 species
UACGUAGGUGACAAGCGUUGUCCGGAUUUACUGGGCGUAAAGAGCGCGCAGGCGGUCGUUCAAGUCGAGUGUGAAAGCCCCCGGCUCAACUGGGGAGGGUCAUUCGAUACUGAUCGACUCGAAGGCAGGAGAGGGUAGUGGAAUUCCCGGUGUAGUGGUGAAAUGCGUAGAUAUCGGGAGGAACACCAGUGGCGAAGGCGACUACCUGGCCUGUUCUUGACGCUGAGGCGCGAAAGCUAGGGGAGCAGACGGG